GCAGGAAUCAUUUCAUGUAACCAAGUGGAUGCAGGAAUCACAACAUCCUCAGGAGGGAGGGAGAGUAUCAUUAAGGAGAGGAUCACAGACUUCGGAAAAGAACAAUUGCCAUUGAAGCCUUGAGCCGGGGAAGAGGAGAAGAUCGUAGACUUCGGAAAAGAACAAUUGCCAUUGAAGCCUUGAUCCGGGGAAGUAGGAUGCAUUCCUAAGAGUGUCGCUGCCUUGAUCGGGUAGUGUCUGUUCCAUCCUUCUUGUUGAUGCCAGCCUGUGUUUACCUUGUCACCUCAUGUGUCUCUUGAGCAGAAAUGAAGUAUUGCCCUAGCAAAGUUGAUCUUUAGUGUGAUCUGGACGACUCCUUACCUAGAUCAUAUCUUUCUAUGUGGUUAUUUUCACACUUGCCAUUGCAUUGGUGGUACAAUGUCUCUACCAAGGAGCAGCGCAUUGCUUAUGUCAAGCUUGUAAGGUUCUUUGGUGUUCGAGUUUUUCUUCUUGUAUAACACAUUAGUUGAUUCGAGUCUUCAACAUUCAUGGUUUCAGAUAUACUCUCCGAUGUGCAGGGACUGACAUCAUUCUGCUGAAGCAGAACUAGCAUUUAGGGUAGUGCGCAGUUACAAUGUUACAAUAUUUGAUAGUUGUUUCUGUGUUUGGUUUUAAAGUCCAGUCCCCUUGAAUCUAUGUUCAACUUGCAGUGACUAGCAUUGUAUCCGUUGGGUUAAGUUUUGGGUGUAGGCCAAUUUUCUUUUGUAGUGGUUUGUAUUGUGCCUGUUUUUAAAGGCCUACGAGUUCUUUCAUAGCCUGCUUUGUCUUCACAGUGACAUGCUCUUUGUCUAACAGCAAUAUGGAUUAUAAACUUUUAUUGCAAAUUUAAAACCAAA